GACGAACGCUGGCGGCGUGCUUAACACAUGCAAGUCGAACGGAAAGGCCCUGCUUUUGUGGGGUGCUCGAGUGGCGAACGGGUGAGUAACACGUGAGUAACCUGCCCUUGACUUUGGGAUAACUUCAGGAAACUGGGGCUAAUACCGGAUAGGAGCUCCUGCUGCAUGGUGGGGGUUGGAAAGUUUCGGCGGUUGGGGAUGGACUCGCGGCUUAUCAGCUUGUUGGUGGGGUAGUGGCUUACCAAGGCUUUGACGGGUAGCCGGCCUGGGAGGGUGACCGGCCACAUGGGGACUGAGAGACGGCCCAGACUCCUACGGGAGGCAGCAGUGGGGAAUAUUGCACAAUGGGCGGAAGCCUGAUGCAGCAACGCCGCGUGCGGGAUGACGGCCUUCGGGUUGUAAACCGCUGUCGCCUGUGACGAAGCGUGAGUGACGGUAAUGGGUAAAGAAGCACCGGCUAACUACGUG
rnacentral:rRNA from 1 species